GUUGGCUUAGAAGCAGCCAUCCUUUAAAGAGUGCGUAAUAGCUCACUAGUCGAGUAUCUCUGCGCCGAAAAUGUACCGGGGCUAAACAUAUUACCGAAGUUAUGGAUUUAUAAUUUAUUAUAAAUGGUAGGGGAGCGUUCUAAGGGCGCUGAAGGUAGAUCGUGAGGACUACUGGAGCGCUUAGAAGUGAGAAUGCCGGUGUGAGUAACGUAAGGUAGGUGAGAAUCCUACCCACUAUUUGACCAAGGUUUCCAGGGUCAAGUUCGUCUUCCCUGGGUUAGUCGGGACCUAAGGCGAGGCUGAAAAGCGUAGUCGAUGGACAACAGGUUUAUAUUCCUGUACUGCUUAUAGGACUGAUGGAGUGACGGAGAAAGCUAGGAAGAGCCAGUUAUUGGAUUCUGGUCUAAGCGUUUAGGUUGAUGCACAGGAAAAUCCGUGAUAUCGAUAAGACUGAAGCGUGAUGGCGACGUGGUCUACGGACCGCUAAGUCUUCUGAAGCUAUGCUUCCAAGAAAAACUUCUAAAGAUAUGUUAUAAGUACCCGUACCUAGAACCAACACAGGUGGUCAAGGAGAGAAUCCUAAGGUGAGCGAGAGAACUAUGGUUAAGGAACUCGGCAAAAUUACCCCGUAACUUCGGAAUAAGGGGAGGUUUCUUCGGAAACCCGCAGUGAAUAGGUCCAGGCAACUGUUUACCAAAAACACAGGUCUCUGCUAAAGCGUAAGCUGAUGUAUAGGGGCUGACGCCUGCCCGGUGCUGGAAGGUUAAGGGGAACACUUAGCGCAAGCGAAGGUGUGAACUUAAGCCCCAGUAAACGGCGGCCGUAACUAUAACGGUCCUAAGGUAGCGAAAUUCCUUGUCAGGUAAGUUCUGACCCGCACGAAAGGCGUAAUGAUCUGGACGCUGUCUCAACCAUAGACUCGGUGAAAUCUUAAUACCUGUGAAAAUGCAGGUUACCCGCGACAGGACGGAAAGACCCCAUGGAGCUUUACUGUAGCUUGAUAUUGAAGUUAGGUAAUUUAUGUAGAGGAUAGGUGGUAGACUAUGAUGUAUGGACGCCAGUUCAUACGGAGUCGCCCUUGGAAUACCACCCUUAAAUUAUUUGACCUCUAACUUACUCCCGUUAUCCGGGAGGAGGACAGUGUCUGGUGGGCAGUUUGACUGGGGCGGUCGCCUCCCAAAGAGUAACGGAGGCGCUCAAAGGUUCCCUCAGAUUGGUCGGAAAUCAAUCAAAGAGUGUAAUGGUAUAAGGGAGCUUGACUGCGAGACCUACAAGUCGAGCAGGUGCGAAAGCAGGACAUAGUGAUCUGGCGGUAGAAUAUGGAAUUGCCGUCGCUUAACGGAUAAAAGUUACCCUGGGGAUAACAGGCUGAUAGCGCCCAAUAGUUCACAUAGACGGCGCUGAUUGGCACCUCGAUGUCGGCUCGUCACAUCCUGGAGGUGGAUUCGCUUCCAAGGGUUGGGCUGUUCGCCCAUUAAAGUGGCACGCGAGCUGGGUUCAGAACGUCGUGAGACAGUUCGGUCCCUAUCCGUCGUGGGCGUAGGAAAAUUGAGGAGAGCUGUUCCUAGUACGAGAGGACCGGAAUGGACAUACCUCUGGUGUAUCUGUUGUAACGCCAGUUGCAGUGCAGAGUAGCUAUGUAUGGACGGGAUAACCGCUGAAAGCAUCUAAGCGGGAAGCCUCCUCCAAGAUGAAUUUUCCCAUUCUUCGUGAAGUAAGAUUCCUUGU
rnacentral:rRNA from 1 species